AUUGAACGCUGGCGGCAGGCCUAACACAUGCAAGUCGAGCGGAUGACAGGAGCUUGCUCCUGAAUUCAGCGGCGGACGGGUGAGUAAUGCCUAGGAAUCUGCCUGGUAGUGGGGGACAACGUCUCGAAAGGGACGCUAAUACCGCAUACGUCCUACGGGAGAAAGCAGGGGACCUUCGGGCCUUGCGCUAUCAGAUGAGCCUAGGUCGGAUUAGCUAGUUGGUGAGGUAAUGGCUCACCAAGGCGACGAUCCGUAACUGGUCUGAGAGGAUGAUCAGUCACACUGGAACUGAGACACGGUCCAGACUCCUACGGGAGGCAGCAGUGGGGAAUAUUGGACAAUGGGCGAAAGCCUGAUCCAGCCAUGCCGCGUGUGUGAAGAAGGUCUUCGGAUUGUAAAGCACUUUAAGUUGGGAGGAAGGGCAGUAACUUAAUACGUUGCUGUUUUGACGUUACCGACAGAAUAAGCACCGG
rnacentral:rRNA from 1 species